AGUGAACGCUGGCGGUAGGCCUAACACAUGCAAGUCGAACGGCAGCACAGUAAGAGCUUGCUCUUACGGGUGGCGAGUGGCGGACGGGUGAGGAAUACAUCGGAAUCUACUUUUUCGUGGGGGAUAACGUAGGGAAACUUACGCUAAUACCGCAUACGACCUACGGGUGAAAGCAGGGGAUCUUCGGACCUUGCGCGAUUGAAUGAGCCGAUGUCGGAUUAGCUAGUUGGCGGGGUAAAGGCCCACCAAGGCGACGAUCCGUAGCUGGUCUGAGAGGAUGAUCAGCCACACUGGAAAUGAGACACGGUCCAGACUCCUACGGGAGGCAGCAGUGGGGAAUAUUGGACAAUGGGCGCAAGCCUGAUCCAGCCAUACCGCGUGGGUGAAGAAGGCCUUCGGGUUGUAAAGCCCUUUUGUUGGGAAAGAAAAGCAGCAGGUUAAUACCCCGCUGUUCUGACGGUACCAAAAGAAUAAGCACCGGCUAACUUCGUG
rnacentral:rRNA from 1 species